CCGAGUCCCACUCCAGCCUGGAGCAGCUCUUAGUGCCGUCCGGGCUGAAAGCAUCAGAGCUAUUUCAGACACGUUUAAAGGAUCACAGUCCAUACCUCAGCUGGUAGAAGAAGGUACCUCUUUCAGCAUCGAAAGGAGGUGCACAUACUCACUUGACGGGAUAAGCCUCUCUCUUAAAAAUGUCAAAACAGCCAGCGUCACAUGUCAAAGCCAUUCAGGCUAAUAUUAACAUCCCAAUGGGAGCAUUUCGACCUGGUGCAGGCCACCCUCAUAAAAGAAAAGAACUUACACCUGAAGAAGUGGAGGAGAGUGUUCCUGCUUCAACUGAGGAGGAGAAAGAAAAGAAACAUCUCCCAGGAGCUAAGAAACUUCCAGGUCCUGCUGUCAACUUGUCAGAGAUUCAGAACAUAAAGAGUGAACUGAAAUUUGUCCCUAAAGCUGAACAGUAGCUGGAACAAGCAGACCUGUAGAUGAUGUGUUUGAUGCAGCUAUUUUUAAUAUCAGUCUGACAAGAGAAACUGAGUGGAUUCCAAUGAACGGAGAUAACUUGAAAUAUUUUAUGUAUUUGUAUGAAGACUAUGGAUUUCCUAGCUCUGCAAUACCCCAUAGGAAACAUCUUCUUUGUACAUUUAUAUCAACACUUUCUUGUUGCUCAUUUUGUUUAAAGUAGGAAAGUACAAAUGAAAUAAAACUGAAAGCAGUAACUAACAUUGAAUGUACAUAUAUUCAGGAAUGAUUUUUGACCUGAGAAUAGGGAAUAGUAUAAAUUGCAAUUUGAGCAAAAAAGGAAGAAACACUUUUUUGGAAAAAAAAAAAAAAAAGGCAAAAAAAAAAAAAAAGCUAAACAUUACUUGCAAUUAAUUUGGUUUCUUUCCUUUUGAAAAAAAAUAAAUAUGGACAAAAGAGUUUUAAAUUAUUUGACAAAAUGCAAGGUAAAUGAGGACGGUAACAUCUAAUAUCCUGUUGUGUACUUCUGGAUAUAGAACAGGAAUCAUGUAUCCUGUGUAAUUAAGGACAUGCAAAGGGAUGGCCUUUCUGGUGAGUUUAGCUAAAUUCUUCUCUUGUUGUAGAGCCAAAAUACUUACUUUUGGUUUUGAGAGUCUAAAAUGCACUGGUGUUCUGAUAUCUAUGCAUCACUUUUAGUUUAUACAAUGAAAAUAAAAGAUGUAAGCUAGCUGGCAGAAAACCUGCAGCAGGUCAUCCAGCCUUGAUGGAACAUGCUCCUGUAUAUAAGUUGAAGGAUCACUAUCUUCAAACAACCAAGUAAAAAGAGGACAUUGAAAUACUAAUGCUGAGGGAAAAUCAUGUAUGAUUACAUCAACUCUUACACACAGUGAUUAAUCUCUGACAAUUGUUUUAUACAAACUGUACAUAAAUGAAGACUGUUCAAUGCAUGAUCGAUCUAUUUUUUGAAAUUAGAUGUCAUUGUUAGAGAAAUUUAAUAUGCUGUGUCUCCUUGGUGUCUCUUGUGUUACUUACUGUGAAGGGAUAAGAGGAGCUGUUUUGUAAUAAUAUUCUUCUACUGUUGAUUGUAACUGUUCUGCAAGCUAUGAAACUCUGCUGACUCUUGUUUAUUCAAUUAAAAUAAAGACAAUUAUUCUGUUUAGAAAA